ACCAAUCAAAGCGCCCAAAUUCCACCAAUCGGUGCGCGGAUCCAGAACCCACCAAUCCUGGACCAGGGACCGUUAUAAAAAGGGGGGUUUUCUGUUAAUUGAGUUCUUUCGCGUUUGUUCGUAUUGGUAUUUUUGAAAGAACCCAGCGUGUGAGAAGCACGUUGCUUUUGGAAUUUUGAGCUGUUGUGGAAGACCUGGGCUUAUCGUGGGUCUUCUGUUCUUGUUGACUUAUUUUUAAUAAACGAGAGCCUGUUUCAACCUCUCUUCUGAAAUUUGGCCUCGUUCAAUUUAUAACAACUUUGGGGACUCGUCCGGGAUAGGCCACGACCCCGAGAUGGUCCGGGGUAGCCCAGAGCCGAAGACGCGUCCAGUCACAUUUUUUUUUGACUGUCAUAUUUUGGGACUACGUCGGACCGAGGAGGGGAACGCGCCUACUCCCGAGGUCAAAGAGAACAGCAACAGCUCAAAGGAAGUCAAUCAGCCCUCUGGUUUGGCUGUUCUCUACUCUUCCUUAUAAAGUAGAACUUCGAGAACUGCUCAGAAAAUAUGUAUAAGUCAAUCAGCCCUCUGGUUUGGCUGUUCUCUACUCUUCCUUAUAAAGUAGAACUUCGAGAACUGCUCAGAAAAUAUGUAUAAGUCAAUCAGCCCUCUGGUUUGGCUGUUCUCUACUCUUCCUUAUAAAGUAGAACUUCGAGAACUGCUCAGAAAAUAUGUAUAAGUCAAUCAGCCCUCUGGUUUGGCUGUUCUCUACUCUUCCUUAUAAAGUAGAACUUCGAGAACUGCUCAGAAAAUAUGUAUAAGUCAAUCAGCCCUCUGGUUUGGCUGUUCUCUACUCUUCCUUAUAAAGUAGAACUUCGAGAACUGCUCAGAAAAUAUGUAUGUAAGUACCUCUCAAUUAAUUAGAAAAUAUUAUUACUCAGAAGAUAGACAGAAACAAGACUAUCUACACUGAAUGAAUUAAACAUAUAUGAAUUAGGACACAGACCCUUCCAUUCUUUGGUAAGGGAUGCUGUCCUGCAAAUUACAUUAAUGAAUGAGACUGAUAGAUGAAAACCUUCUGCAUCUGCUCUAGCAGUUGGAAUGAGGAUGUUAAAGAAGGCAGACAAGGAGGAUGUGCUACUUAGGGAUACUGAACAUCACUUCUGUGCUUGAGGAGUUCUGUAGUUUGGAUGAAGGUCACAGGUUAUCUCCAGCUGCAUAAAAAUGAGUGAUAAAUAUCUACUGUUUCUCUUAGACUGAAAGCAGUGUUAAACAAAGAGUAUUAAAAUAAGGAAUAUUACUCAAAAAUCAUCCCAAGUUACCUCCUCCAUAUAUUAAAGCUGUAACAUAAUAAUAAAAGCAGCUCAAACUUGUAGAAGUGUCAAAGAUACAUAGAUUAAAUAAGAUCUAUGCAGUGAGAGCACCCUAAAAACAUCACAAGAGCAGUGACAAUUUCUGAGAUAGUAAUGACAUGAACCAAUAUUUAAGAGUUAAGUCUAAAUGAAGAAGAUAAUUUUUCAACUAUUGGAAAAUGGGGGAAUAAAGGAUGAGAUAUGUGAUUAAAGUUCAUAGGGUAUUAACAAAGGUGGAGAAUGUCUUACUUUGAUUCUGUAUUACAACAUAUUUCAAUUGCAUUGUGUGUAGUUUUAGUUUUACACUUGCAUGAUUUUUUAGAACACAUUUUUAGGCUGGGGCACACAAUAAAGGAAAUCCAUCGUGUGACAUUGCAUUGAUCCCCACAUCACUCACUGGAGUAUCUUAGCAUUUCCAGCACAGGUUCUCACUUCUUAAGGUGAAAACCCAGAGAAGAUGCAAACCUGUAACUGCCAUUAAGAGAAGGUCUAAGAUUUUAAUUGCUGUCUGAACACAAAGGAGCUGC